rnacentral:rRNA from 1 species
GACAGAGGGGGCAAGCGUUGCUCGGAAUUACUGGGCGUAAAGGGCGCGUAGGCGGGAUGGCAAGUCGGUCGUGAAAUCCCUCGGCUCAACUGAGGAUCGUCGAUCGAUACUGCCGUUCUUGAGGAUUGCAGAGGAGACUGGAAUUCCCGGUGUAGCGGUGAAAUGUGUAGAGAUCGGGAGGAACACCGGUGGCGAAGGCAGGUCUCUGGGCAUUAACUGACGCUGAGGAGCGAAAGCAUGGGGAGCGAACAGG